GACGUAGGGCGCGAGCGUUGUCCGGAUUUAUUGGGCGUAAAGAGCUCGUAGGCGGUCAGUCGCGUCUGCUGUGAAAACUCGGGGCUUAACCCCGGGCCUGCAGUGGGUACGGGCUGACUAGAGUGCGGUAGGGGAGACUGGAAUUCCUGGUGUAGCGGUGAAAUGCGCAGAUAUCAGGAGGAACACCGGUGGCGAAGGCGGGUCUCUGGGCCGUAACUGACGCUGAGGAGCGAAAGCGUGGGGAGCGAACAGG
rnacentral:rRNA from 1 species